rnacentral:lncRNA from 1 species
UUGUGAUACACCUCCUGAUUUCCAGUGGCUAUAUCCAAAACACCUCUUUAAAAUCAGCUAAAAACCAGCCCCGACCCCUGCCUGAGGCUCCCUCAGGGGGCAGGCGGGGGGCGCCCUCCCUGAGGCGCCUCACGGGGCGCCAACGGCCGCCCCCCCCCCCCCCCCUCCCCCCCCCCCUUUGGCGCCUGCGCAGUGCGCGCCUGCCGCCACCCGGAAGUGCCCGCGCCUCCCAGCCUGCCCUGCGCCAUCCUUUCCGGCCCGCGCCCGGGCAGGGUGAGAGGCGCCGAGGGGCCGCCCGCCGCCAUCCGCCGCCAUCCGCUGCCAUCGGCCGCCAUCGGGGGCAGCCGCGGGGCCGGGAUGCGUCGCUGAAAUGGCUCCUGCGAAGAAAGGGGGCGAGAAGAAGAAGGGGCGGUCUGCCAUCAACGAGGUGGUCACCAGGGAGUACACCAUCAACAUCCACAAGCGGAUCCAUGGCGUGUAAGCGCUGGGGUUUUGUCGGUGAGGUGGGCUGUGUGUAAAGCGGCGUUUGGAGGUGGGCUCAGUGCGUUUUAAGCUGCAGAGGAUGAGGUUUCCUGGCCUUAAUCUGCACGUAGAGCUGUUUACCUCUGUGCCUGAGUUGUCAUUCUUACUCAGCUGAAGUCUAAAAUGUAGCCCGUUAUAGUAAGUUUUAGAAAUUAAAUACUGUUGUAAUCAAUGAUUGGAUUUGUGCUUAGAUGGUUGUGUGAGUUGUAAAUUGGGGUGUGAGUUGAGGUGAACAGUGCUGGCUGGGUUUUGGGUGCUGUUGUGGAGAGGAGAGUAACUUUGCCCCUGACAACACACUGAGUCUUGUAUGACCACGUAGCAGCAGCACAGCGCUGGAGAGGGGUUGUGAGAAACUGCCUUGCCCUUUGAUUCUCUCCAUGUGUGUAUGGUAAAGUCACAUGGAAGAAAACCAUAUCCAAGUCAAACCAGUUUGAAAUUGCUGAAAUUAAUGUAAAGCAGGAGAGAAGUGAGACAGUGGACUGCUGGAGAACUGUGGGUGAGGAUGGGAGGCGCUGAUACUCAGACUGCCCCUCAUGCUAACCC